UGGCUCAGUGGUAGAGCACUUGCCUAGUGUGCAAGAGGUCCUGGGUUUGAUCCCCAG
rnacentral:tRNA from 1 species